rnacentral:lncRNA from 1 species
GAAUGGGACCUCAUUCGGACAAAAGGGUCUUUGCAGAUGUAAUUAAGGACCUCAAGAUGAAAUCCUCCUGGACUAAUCAGGUAGGCCCGAGACCCCAUGACACAGACAGAGACACAGGGAGAGUUCCAUGUGACAGUGGAGGCAGGGACUGGAGUGAUGUAUCUGUGCCCAAGGAACACCAAGGAUUGCCAGCAGCUCCCAGGAGGAGAUGGGAUGGAGCUGACGCUCUCCAGAGCCUUCAGAAGGAACCAAAUCUGAUACUGGAUUUCCGUCCUGCAGAACUGGGAGAAAAUGCAUUUCUGUUUGAAGUUACCAAGUUUGUGGUCAUUUGUGAGAGCAGCCCCAGGAGAUGAACACAGGGUGGCUCCAUGCCAGGACAGGGGGGCAAGAGGCUGGGGCUCUGUGCUCCUCCAGGUCUCACUCAGGCUCACUCUGAGCAUUCAGCGCAGUGUUUGGGGCACCCGGUGACCCUGGGUGUGAGGAGACGUGGUCUGUGCCUUCUGGCCCAUCGUCAUUUGCUCUGGGUGCUGAUAUCAACCACAGGCAAUUUAAUUCUAGACUGGAAUGGAGCUGGGAAGGGCGCACCUUCCUGCCAAAAGCAAUUUCGUCCAAAGUCUGCACCUCGGUGGCUGAGCAUGGCGGGCCGGGAUGUUUUCACACUGCCACUCUAGAAAGAGCGGAAAUGCAGACGCUUUCCUCCUUCACAAUUUUUGAUUGCUUUGACUUUUGGUGUGUCCGAGAGGCUGUAACUCAAAUAACCGUUCCCCACCUUUGGUUAGAUCCUAGAGUCUCUGGUACAUUGUCCGUCAGCGGUGCUGCUUGGAGGCUUCCCAAAGGCCGCCAUUUUGGUAGGCUCAUUGAGAGAUACAGAAGAAAUAGGAGCAAACGGCUCCACAGUAGAGAUACAAGCAGCUUCUACCUUCAAAUUACUGUGGUUUUUAUUUGACCUGUUGGAAGUUCUGGGGUUUCUGUAAAGGAUAAAAACUCUCUUUGGGCAGGCACAGUGUAGAUCUGAAAAGUCCUGACUACGGCCCCUUCAGUUUAUGGCCUGAGGAGCUUGAGGGCCUGAGGGAAGCCAGUGGCCGGAACACACGGGCUCUUUAGCUGAGGAGGGACUUGAACCCAGGUGUUCCGACGCGAGGACUCUCUCCCACCACAUACAGCACAGCACUGCUUGCGUUGUUUGGUUUUGUAUUGCUUUGGAAUUAGUCCAACUAUCAUCAUCGAUGUGAAUAAAUAGACAUAUAUCUUUUCAGUUUGCACAACUACAACCAUAAAUGAAUAUUUAUUAGUGUGAAGACACCCCCAGGUCCUGGAACACUCAACACAUGUAGAGCCAGGUGUAUUCAGGAGUCCAUGCAGCAGGAAGUGGAGCCAUCAUCACAGGGUACGAAGGGAGGACAAGUGCAGUGUCGUGAGCAUGUACAGAGGGAAGUUGACAGCGGGGAGAGGCUUUGCUGAGGAAGUGGCGUUUGGAAGAACGAGAAUGAGAUGGGGUUUUGCCGUGUUACCCAGGCUAGUCACGAACUCCUGUGCUCAAGCGAUCUGUCUGCCUCGGCCUCCAAAGUGCUGGGAUUGCAGGCAUGAGCCACCGCGCCCAGCCAGAAAGCCACUGCUUUAUAGACCACCACUUAAAUGCACCUGGCAGCUUCAUGUACGCAAGAACUUUCCUGCAGCUCCUUUAAAUUUAAGAAUCUUUUGGCAAAAUGAAGAAUACAAGCGUGUUUCUUCUUCAUAUGCUUUGUUUUAGGAACAUUAAAAAAAUAUAGUUACUACAAUCAGAAAGCAGUUAUAUUUGUAUGUUUUGUAACAAAUACUGUGGCCUGAUAGAAUGAGCUUCUGACAAAGGCAUGUGCUUUCCAAGUGGGCCAAGUUCAAAAGUUGUCCGCUGAGUUGUCUCACUGGCUCAUCCAGCCAAUCAUUCAAAUAUUUAAAGGCCCCACUAAGGGCCAUGUUACUCAUUGUACAUCUUUAAGGAUGGGUGUAACUUACUUAUCUGUUUAUUUUCAAUUUCAGAAUACUUUAUAUUGACUCCUAAAAGUAUGGUGUAGUGUAUGUUUGUUUUGGGAGUUUCAAUACAAUCCCUAAAUUUAUGUAUCUCAAAUGUACAGGGACUGAUCAAAUUAGUGCUAAUUUUCCUAAAACAGUGUCAAAAACAAGGGAAUCAAUCAUGAACACACUAAGCAUGAGCAUCGACUGUCACAAGACAUGGCUCAGUUUAUUUUUUCUUCCUUCUUACUACACCGUAGAACAGAGCUCUUUUGUUUGCUUAUGACCUGGGCAAAUAUGCUGUAUGAUAAAAAAAAAUCAUGUAUGCAUUUGAUUCUCAUCCAGAUGCCCUUAGGAUAAGAGGUUCAUUUUCAUCUUCUGUUUUCCAAAUGAAGCUUUAAAUCUAAUUAGAUCUUGAAAGAAAAUAACUGCAAUAGGGUUUCUGUAAGUAAAGGGCCCUCAUUUAAAUAAUGCUGUUAUUUGUUUAUGUGAUUUACAGUAAGUGAUGAAACUCUUCGUGGCCAGCACGCCGCUCACUUCGGGGAUCCUUUGCACAGAGCACUUUGAGUUAGUUAUAAACCAUUCUACACACAGAAGCAUUUAAUUGUUAGAACAUUUCAUAGUGUAACAGCAUUUCUCAUUGCCUAGCAUGGGCCUUCUCCAUAUCGAAGGCCCAAUAAAUAUUUGUAGAAUAAAGGAAUUCACACCC